AUCGUGAUAAUGGAGCCUAGUGCAGAUAUUAACCUUGAUACAGACAUCUGGAGGUAAUUGAUUUCCUAAUCCACUUGCUUAUUUUGCUGCUUAAACAAUUGUUGUCUUUGGUUUCAGUUGAGAAUAUGCCUUCGUAGUUAUUAACUGGAAAAUAUCUGGACUGCUUGUGUUAAUAGUUUGAAUGAUCAAGAUAGCAAUGCAAUUAUAUUGCCAGACAAGAAAAAGAAGAAGAAGACAGAAAAGGAACAGGUAUAAACAGAAAAUCAAUAUGUUAUACAUAUUUGAACGUCUUCACAGAUGACCGAUUGCUUUAAUUUUUUUAUAUCAGGUAUCGAAAAAGCUUAAAACGAAGAAUAACAUUAAGUUAAGUCAAUCUCAGAAAAAAAAGCUGAAGAAACUCGAGGUAAGUGCAUCCAGGAAUAUUCAUUGUUUUCUUAAUUUGUUAGUACUACUUAUUCUUGUCAUCUAUUUUUUGGACUUAGAAUAAUUCAGUCUUCUCAAAUGUAGGAAGACAAGGAGAAAUCAAUCCUUUUAGCUGAAAGCAUUAAGACCUUGAAGU
rnacentral:lncRNA from 1 species